rnacentral:rRNA from 1 species
CAGUAGCCGCGGUAAUUCGAAGGGGGCUAGCGUUGUUCGGAUUUACUGGGCGUAAAGGGCGCGUAGGCGGGCGGAUAAGUCAGGGGUGAAAUCCCAAGGCUCAACCUUGGAACUGCCUUUGAUACUGUUUGUCUUGAGUUCGGGAGAGGUAAGUGGAACUGCGAGUGUAGAGGUGAAAUUCGUAGAUAUUCGCAAGAACACCAGUGGCGAAGGCGGCUUACUGGCUCGAAACUGACGCUGAGGCGCGAAAGCGUGGGGAGCAAACAGGAUUAGAUACCCCCGUAGUCCCUGUCUCUUAUAC